GCUCGCAGGAGCAGAAUCUGUUAGCCCAAUUCUCUUCUCUCAUAGCUUUCUAAAAUAAAGAAGUUUAAUUUACAUUAGCCUGGAGUGCUUCUGCUUCUUAGUCUGUUGAUUGAGGUAAGAUGAAUCUACCCAGGCCAAUCCAUAACAUUUGACCACUUACCAAGGAUAUUGUUCUCCCCUCCUGUCCUAAGGGAUCUGUAGAUUCCUCUUUUAAGAGGAGUACAAACCAGCAGUACUUACUGUGGUUAAUGGGCGUCUGUUUUGGCUGGCAGAGCUGGGGUGAGAGAGAUCAUAUAGCCUGCACUUCAGGAGGAAGAAAAGAAAAACCCACAAGACACCUAUUUGCCCUGCAUAGCAGGUUGGCUUUUGCCGUUAUUUGUAGGAAUCUCUUCCACUGCUUGCACCUCCUAAAUCCUUGUCAUCCAGGUUUGAGAGCUGGGACUAUCUUCUUUGGCACCAAGUUAACGAUAUGUUUUUUAGCAUGAGCAGCCAUUCAUAUUUUACAUUAGUGUUCCUCUCUGUUCCUUUCAAGCAAUAAUCAUAAAUAUCAGCUUUCAUUCCUAGAGCGCCUUUCAUCCCAGGGGCUCCCAAAGCACUUUCCAAGCUUAACAAGCCUAUUGUAGAGUACUUCUUUAGAAAGGGUGAAACUUGCUUCCCAUUAAAGCCUGAUUUUGGGAAGAAAAACCCCAAAUUAUAACGUCUUCAAUACACGAGGGAGCCUUUGCAGCUGUUAUUUACUGUGCAUGUUCCCUUACCAAAAAAGACUGCUUCUUGCUCCUCCAUCCCCCCCAUCUCCCUCAGCUUAAUCCAGCAGUGCUCAGUUACCUGGGGGGAGAAGAGUGCAAGUAAUGAGAGAUGAUUGUCCCCUGUGAUCUGAGGAAGUGCUUUUUUCUGGAAUCCUAUUGUUGCCCUCAACAGUUUCUUCUGGCAACUCCAUUUCUAUCCAGUCUAUUUUCUCUUUAUCGGGGCAAAUGUCCUAGGGCAGAGUUGAAUGUCCUGUGGCUUUAGCCAGAGAGGUCACCAUCCGUGGUUGGGCUAUGCUAAGGAUCAUGUGAGACACUGUAGUCCUCUUCAGGACAAAGUCAGCUGGCCUAAUUUAAGUCACAUUCCCCUGCAAUCAAAGCAAAGCUGGUUGCUUUGCACUGAAAUGAAUCACAACCUUUCAAAUGGUCCUUUAUUUGGCUCAUCUGUGGGAGCAGUAAGCCCAGAAGAGAAGAUUGUUGCUGGAGGACUCAGUAUGGUGGGACCUGUCCAUCUCAUGAUGCACAGAGCUUUCUUCCAUGCCAGCUGUGUGGGAAAGUGGUCUCUCCUCUGCUUGGCUGAGAGAGGCCCAGCAAAAUGCUGCCUAUUUCAACACUAACUCUGAAGAUCUGUAAAUUGGCAAAGGAUCCAAAAAGAAUAAUGAACCAGCAGUUACUGUUUACAUUGGCCACCUUGUAUAAGUGCUGAUAUUAGCAUUUCUGAAAGGAUUCAUUCAUCACUGAACAAAGGUUUGUACCUGUGAAUAAGAGCUUGCUUGGGAGGGCCUGUGUGCCUCCUUUCCUCUAUCAACAAAGCUUACAAAUGUCAAGAGAUGGUUUUGCAAUGGAUGUUAAUGCAUACCUAUUAUUUCAGGAUGAGAAUAAGCCACUGAAAAUAUUCCAUGCCUAUUUCUGAUGGUGUAAUGAAAGCGGCAGUAAAUGUAAAGAAAAAUAUUAUUUAUUUUCAUGUGUCUCAUUUAUUUAUUUAUAGACCCCAAUAUAUAUAUUGAAAGUGGCUCUCUUGGGCUUUUUUUAAAACUAAAAUCCUGCAAUACAACCUCAAGCCCAGUGAUUAGUUCUCAUGUCAUGGAAAAUCAAGUAGACCUGCACUAGGAAGAACAAUGGCUGUUGAAAACAUUUUGCCCUUUCCAGACUAUGACCUCUUCUGGGGAUGUCAGCAAAGUAAACAUACUUUUAUGAAGUACCCCUAAGUCUUCCUUAUCUCCUGCUGUUUGUCACACUUGUUGCAAUUUGCCUUAAAUUAGUUGCCUUCACACGGAGGCACAUGAUGCUGUUUUGCUUAAAAAAAGAGGUUUGUAUGUUCUGCACUGGCCCAGCUGGCAUGCCAUGAGCCAUGGCUCAGAGGUGGAACAGGUCCUCUGCACAGCCAGCAGCCAGCAUUUGUUCCAUCCUCAUACUGCAUGUCAGGAGUCCCUCAGCAGUGGAGGACACAUAACAACAGCAUUUGCGUGGGGGGCAAAAAUGUUCAGUCUCUGGGGGAUGCCCACAUUUUGACUAGGAUUCCUUGGGAUUCUGUAGGAUGAAGAUCAAACUCUUUUUCAGGCACGUUAUUAUGUUAUAACCUCUAAUAUACCAUUUUUCUUUUAAACUUUUGACUGCUACACUUUUAGGCUGGAAGUAGCGAAGGGCUAGGGCUUUUCCUGGGCGCUCACACAGCUCCUGGCAAGGUAUGGCUUCAGUUCUGGCAGGGGACUUAGGCCAUUGCUGCAAUCCAAAUGCACGUUUUAAAAAAAACCCUGAAAUGUCUGGAACCUGCUUGCAAGUGCCCCUUUCAUGCGAAAGAUGAUGCUUUGCGAGCACUGUGUUUAUGAAGCAGAGGAAGAAAGCAAGUGUGAAUGAAAUGAGAGACCAAGGACCAGCCCGCCGCCUUCCAUGGGAAGUCCUUUCGGAGGGGCGCGAGCCUCUAAGACUUCCCUGGUGGAGUUUCUUCUGAACUCUUUAAGUUGUUGGGCAGGGGAAGCUGGGCCGAUGGCUGAUGAGGAACCAUGAAGGUCAUCCCCCCACCCAGAGAGGUAACACUCCCUGCCUCUCGAGGCCAUGAUUUCAGCAUGCAGCUCUUUUGCACAGAGGGAGCAGAAAUAAUGCUAGGAAUCUCUAAAGGGGUGAGUGGGUACAUAAAAGGCCAGCAGUGCACAUAAGGGAUUUCAUCGUAAGCGGUUGGAGAAGAGAUGCCUGCUCUGCAAGAGGCAAACACUUCUCUGCACAGAACCAGGAUAAUUUCCCUUCAGUCCAGGGCAGAUUGCCAGCAGUCUCAAACGUAAUCCUCACGGUAUUACUUCCAAAGAUGAAACAAGGGUAUUAUGGGCACCGCCACUGAGGCAGGUAAUCUUUAAAUAUAGCUGCAAAUUGCCUAGUUUAAUGCUAACAAACCCUAAUAGUGAGGAAGACAAGACAGGUAGCAGCACUGAUACAGCAUAAUAUAAUGCGAUGGCUGAUACAAAUGUGACUCAUUCUAGCCAGAGGCUUAAGUAUAGGAAGUCGGAGAAAAGAUAUAAAAACAAAUCUGAAUUUUUUUUUCCUUCCCAGUGAAGGUCACCGCCAGGAAUAGCAUGGGAAAUAAUUAAUAGAGGAAGAAAUGUUCCCCUUCAAAUUAGAAGUAUUGUCUUGCUUCACAGUUUUGUUCUCCUCUUUGGGCUCCUGUAACAAACACCGGCGAACACGCAGGGCCUUUCUCCCUGAAGCCACUGACGGAUAUCCCACCUGGCGGGUGGUGAAUACGAGGGACUGGCUGUGCAACGCUCACCGUGUCUGUUAAUGGGUGUCCGCCUCGCUGGCAGUCCACCCACCGGCAGUGCGCUCAAUGGGCCUGGGAGACGGAAUCUGGCUCUACGCAACGGCGACCAAUUUUCCUGGUCAACACGGAGGCGCGGUGCCAAGGCUGUGUGUGAGAGCCUGUGCAGCCUGCUGCUGCGGGGGGGUUUCACCCCUUUCCCUCUGCUCCGGAGCCCUGGGGAGGUGGGUCCUCUUUCCAGCCCCGACGCAGGUCCUGCUCCCUCAGUCCCUACGCUUUGCGUGGGAGGACAUGGAUGACACAGCGACCGCUGCGCUUGCAGUGGCACGGGCUGUUCUCUGCUCAUCCCGUGGAGACCUGGGAGGCUUGGGCUGCUCCUUUGCUCCCCGUGACCAGCACUGCACUUACACAUCUGCAAAGGCAAGGGGAAGCCAUGCAACUGUGCCUGCGGUGCAGUGGGCAUGCAACGCUACCCGGGGCAGGAGCGGUCCGUGAUGCAGCCCGUCUGCUGCACUGGAAUGUGAUGCUGCAAUUUAAUUCCCUUUCCUCAGAGUGCUCUUUGAGUGGAGACGGGUGAGGAGAGGAGCGAGUGCCUCUGCUUCAUGUCAUCACCCUGCAGACUGGAAACCGGGCAGCUGCGGGGAGUUGGGGGCAAGGGGCUGCUGCUCCCCGGGGCACUGGUUUGUUUUCUUCCACGUGGCCGUAGCAGGGAGGAGUGCUGGUGGGAAGCUCUGAGCUUCACACUCCUGACUAUAAUCUGCACGUGGCUCUGUCUCUUCUGCCAUGAAGGACUGGUCACGUUUUCCAUUCUUGACUCUGUGUGGCUGUGCUCUGAACAUCCCAGGUUAUCUGUGCGCUAACCAGCUGCCUUUCCCACUGCUCGGCUCUUGACAGCUCACCAGGCCUUCAUCGCUGCUCAGGGCCUGCAUGCCAGCGUCAUUAAGGCAGCUAGCACAGUGUUAAGAUACAUUCAUUUUUGGAGGGCUUUUCUUUUGGGAGCCCGGGAGGUGAGAGUUCAGAUCCUCCCUCCCUCAGCAGGCUCCUGACCCUGCAGUGGACUUUUCAGAGGUAGGAGCACUGCAGAAGUCCUGAGUGCCCUGGAGCUCCCAUAUAGCACAGGAAAAACCUAUUACGGGAAAGCUGCUAAUAGCAGAGGUAAGCUCUUACCCGCAUUUUCCACUGGUGUUACAGACUCUGGAGAAUUAGCUUGUUUCGGCCAGGUUCCCAAACUGCUUUUUGGUGUUUAUCCAAAACAAGCCUGUGCAUUGAGGUUUCCUACCCCAAAAUUGUCUAACCAAAUGAAAGGAAUGACCUCAGUUACACAGAUGCUCCUCCAUCUGGUCCUACAACUAGAGUGGGGCCAGGACACAACCCCAGCUCAACUCCCCUCUUCUCCCCAAAAAGGAGCUAUUUGAGGAUGUUGGAGCUCAGUCCAGAUCUGACUUUCACAGCGGACCCCUCUCUAUGCAGUGAGUAAAAUCCUAAUGCAGAAAGCUUUAAAGCAGUUCAGAAAUGUGGCAGUCCAUAAAUAUUGGGUGUUUGGCUGGUAGUGCUCAUAAUGCUGUUCAGUCUGGAGUAUUUGGGGAACAAAGAUCAAUCCCACAAGGACAAUCUGUCACUUGCAUGUCUUCAUGUUGACUUGAAUUUUGGCACUUUCAUUCUGCUAGCUUUCUCACUUUCCAAGGCAUGUGUGUUGCUCUUCUAGCCAUAUCCUUAUGGUCAUGAGAUUUGGGGUCAUGCAUUCUCUUAUCUGGGGUUUUCACAGCUGCUGCUCCUUGAAAUGGUUGCAAGGGAUGCUGAGUUGGGUGGGAUGACCUGUUGCUCUCAGGUUUAUUUCUUUAUAGCAUCUCUAUCAAGAAAGAUGGUAAGACAUAUAAUUCCAAUACUUCUAGACUACCAUAGUGUUAUCAAACUCAAAUAUUAUGACUCCUUGUGAAUGUGGGGUUUGUGAGCUGUUUUACCACAGCUUUUAUUCUCUUUUUGGUGAAAAAGGAAGUUACAUAAUUCAAGCUUUUCCUUCUUUCUUCUCUUUUUUGCUCUUAAAAUUACCAUAUUUGCAGAGAGACGGUGCCUGUGUUAGCAGCUGGUGUGGUGCAGCGGGAGCAGAUCCACAGAGGUGGCUGUUUGGUGCUGAAGGCUUGAUAUGUCAGGGGAUUUACAUCAGACUGCCUCCGUUCUGGUUCCCAGGGACCGGACUCUCAUUACAGGUUGGAGCGCAGGAGGUGCACUCCUGGAGGCCAUCGCCUGGUUUUCUUUUACUCAAAGGGAAUCCAGUUAAAAAAAUUGCUGCCUGAUGUAAAUUGAAAGAUGGCAAGUGGUACAAAUGGGAGAUUUGCCUCAUAAACUCACUCCUGAUGCGAACAAAAACAGGCACAUAGAAAGACCGGUCAAGAGACCAAGGUCAAGAGACCAAUCCCCAAGACAUCGCUUUACCCUAAGGUCCCACAUGGCUCGAAUGUGUGGCAGACAGGUCAGUUCUUUGGCUAGUGAAACAGCUGUUUAGCUUGGCUGAGCAGCUCUCUUAUUCUUUCUUGGAUAUAGCUGCUAAUCUAUUCUUCCCUCCUCGUACACUUCCCCAACCUUCCCCUUUUCCAAACCCUCACUAAGCAUAUAUAUAUAUAUAUAUAUAAUAUAUGUGUGUGCGUAGGCAGUUGUGUCUGCUGCUGGGAUUUCCUCCCAAACAAUACCUGUUGUGCUGGCCACAGUGGUUCUCUUGGUUCCCAUGCUCAGAGCAGUUUGAGUUUCCUGCUGGCUCAGCAGCAAGACUUUCAGGGCUUUUUAUACUUAUUCUUCUUCGGGAGCCAAGCGGAGGAGCGCAGUUUGCCUGUGAAUAGUGAGCUGGCUGGGCAGGCGGCAGGAAGCUUGCAUACUAAACCGUGUGAACUUUGAGGAGGGGAGGAAGGGGGCCAGGGGCCGCUGGCUGGGCUUCGCGAGGCGUUUGCUGCAGCCCUCUGCCUUAUAAACUCAUCAUCUCCGCAUAGGGAUGCUCCCCGCCUAAGGACUGAAAAUUUCUGUAAAAUGGGAAAGAAGCGAGAGAGCUGAAAAUGGAAUUAUAGAAGAAACACAGGGAGGGCCUGGAGAGCGGAGAAGAACGAGGAGGCUUGGGUUUUAAUUAUUCACAUGAAAACUUGUGCAUUGGUUCCCUGCAUGGAGCGAUGCCACAGCACCUUAUGCUGCACUGCUGGGCUCACGGGCCCGCUUGCUCACCCCCUUGCUGCCCCAGCAGUGGCCCUACUGCCUUCUCUGAGUAGGGCAGCUUUUCUGUAUUGCCCAGGCAAAAUCAAAAGCACAGAAAUGAAAACACACUUCUCUCUUCCUGCCUGCGCUCCCCCCCUCUACUGCUUUCUGUUGCUGUCAGCUAAAAUUAAUAAAUAAGCGGGUUCCCAUUCUCAAGGACCAGACAUCAUGGUGUGGCUACGAAAGAGGGGUUUGAUGAGCAGCACCGUGAGACGCAGGCGCCUGCUUGUCGAUCACAGGCGAAGCUGUCCCUGGAGCAGGGAGAGAGGUGUUCCGGCAGGUGCCACGGCUCUGCUGCAAGUGCGAGCGUGCUGGGAGCAUCCUUGGAAAAAAGGCAGGAGGUGAGAGGAAGGGAGGAAGGACAGGCUGAGCCCGUCUGCCUGCAGACCAGCUACCUGCCUCCUGCUCACGUCUGCACAAACAAACAAGGAACAGGCUUUGCCUGUGCUUUGAAAAUGAGGUGGGAGAGGAUGGUGCAUGCUGCGCAGAUUCUUCCUGAGCAAGAGUGGUGCCGGGAUGGGUGUUGGUGGGAUGGCCCUGUGCAGGGAGAGCUGCUGCACUGGCCUGGCGGGCUCUGCCGGAGGGGUGGGGGGGCUACGGGGCAGGCACGAGCACUGUGCAUGUGUGUAGAAUAUAUUUUUAGGAUGAUGGGAUGAUAGAGAGAGCCAGCGGGGAGUGGAAAUGCUCAGCAGUGGGACAGACUGGGAAAUGGGGUAACGCUCGGCUCGGUUAGUCAUGGCAUAGCAUCAUUGCGAAGUGAUGCAACCUUCCUGGCCUGAUCUGAAAUAACAACAACCCACAGCUUUCCCUCUGUUUGGCAGCACCCUUCUCUGAGUAAAGGUCCCCAUUACUCCAGGCUCUAAAUCAUCCACCAAUACAUGGUAAAUCCAAGAAGCCAGGGCCCUUGCUCCCCUGCCUAGCUCAGCGGCACUCUGCGUCUAGCUCCCAGCCGAGCGCUGAGCAAGGUGACAUGUCUGCUUGGCACCUGCGUCCCACUGGUGUCCCCCCAGGACGAGUAGCUUUGCCUGGAGGUCCCCGAGUGCUGGGGAGAUGGGGAGAUACGGCUCCGGGUCCCAGAGUGGGCUCGUGGGGAGCCAGUGGAGGUCCCGGGGAGAGUGACCCGCCAAGCUCGUCUAGAUCCCAAACAGUCUUUGCCUAGGCAGCUUGUGGCAGAGCACAGGCACCUCCAAAAGUAACCAGUGCCUUCACCAUGGUCUUCUUAGAAAGUGCAAAAGCAGUCCCAAAUUUGGGGAAUUUACCAUCGAAUUCAUGCAAUUCUGUUCAUCUCCACUCCUGGCUCAGCAGAAGCUCAGUUUAAAUUACAUGUAAUUGAUGACUUCGGUGCCUCUGUCUGUUUUUAAGGCUAUCCAACAUUUCCUAUAAGACCAAAUGUUUAGUUGCCUGUAAACCCCUGAAAACUUUAACUGUUUACCGCUUCGCUGUUUUUUUCUGUGCUGGGUAUCUGUCUCAGGCUGAAUGCAUCUGGGAAGCUUCAGCAAAAAAUGUUUUUGCUUGCUUACAAGAAAGAGACGAGAAACAAUUUUUUUCCUUCGUAUGCAAACAAGUUCUUAUGUUCUUAAAGUGAUCUGUUGAGAAACUCUAGCACUUUCUGCCUUUGGAGGAGAGGCUUGAAAUUUGGCAGAUAUCAGGAAUGCGCCUUUGGUUGUUCUUCAUGGGGGGAAAAAAAAUUGAACUAAGAAACCUUAGGAAAAAAAAAGCCUCAGAUCUCAGACACUCAACAGAAACUUCUUAAGAGUUAGAAGCUGAAUUCUCUGAAGGCACUUGCUCAGUGGAGACUUGUUGAAGUCUGGCAGCUAAAUCACAGAUGAGAGUGCGGCAGGCACACUGCAGCCUCCUGCUGCAGGUGCAGAGCAGCAGCUCUUUGAAAUUGUUUUUCCGUACUGACAGGGUCGCUGUGGUACUGGGGACCGGAGCCCGGAGAUGCUCUCGGAUGUGCUCCUUUGCUGAUACUUAGGCGAACACGCGGGAAGGCUGAUGUUGACUAGGGCCAGGACCUGGCCGAGGGAGGGAGGCAGGGAGAGAGGGAGCCCUACUGCAGUGCAAAGGCUGAGGACCACCCCCCCACCCCAGAGAGGGGGACUGAUGUCAGAUGUGGAGCUGGACGUGGGAGCAGGACCAAGGCAGAAGAUAGGUUGGAAGGAGCAGGAGGAGCAGGAGGAGCCAGGUUUGGGAGUAUCUCUCCCCACCAGAUCAUACCUCCUGCAGAACCUGGGAUGCAGCGGACCCAGAGAUUUCUGCUGUGCAGUAGUUGUCUGUUGUCAGCAAAUAUUUGGGGAAGCCAUUGGCACAGGCUGUGACUCAUUCCUGCCUGCUCCCUCAGCAGAGGUUGAUGGGCUAUCAGUAUUCCCAGUUAUUCUGCUUUUCAAGCACAAUGGAAUUAACAUCCGAGAAUAAAAGCCAGUCCUGCCGGUGAGUCAUGUGGUGGCCCGGUGAUGCCGCAUGAUGGGAUUCCUGCAUUUUUGUUUCAGUUUGCCGUCUGCAAAUCAAGGAAAUGACACAAACCCAACGUAGAUUGGAAGUAUGGGAAGUCUGUAGGGUCGAGCACUCGGCAGUUAACACUGCCCUUGCCAUUUGAGUGUGGCUCCCAUCUGCACAGGCAGCGUGAUAGUGUUGCUUUUAGCUGCAGGAUCAAAUGCAUAUGUAAAUAUUUUUUUUCCCCACAAAAACUCUACCUCUUUUAAUGCCCAGGGUGGACGGUUCUCAGCGGGUGAGUGGAGGGUGUGUGGGGAAGGGUCCUCGUCCUGCCUCGUUGCAGCUGUGCAGGACAAGAGGAUCCCUGCUCUGCCUUCAUGCCAGAGCAGACUCCAGCCCUCGGCGGCGGUGGAGACGGCAGCCAGCGUCUGCGUGCCUGGCCUGCAGCAAGACCAAAACAGAUGGAGUACUCAGAUAAAUUAUCUGCCAAACUCAAACAAGUCCCCAUCAGGCACGUGUAGAGUGAAGUUUUGUAUAACUUGUAACUUGACCGCAGGUGGGAAAACUUAAGACCCUUGCGAAGGCACAUUCCCCUUCCCUGGCUGAGUAUCAGUGCCAGCCUCUGAAGACAGAGGCGCUUAAUCUCUCGAUUUGAACAGAGCAAGCUAACAUAUAUCUUGCUAAUCUUAUUCUAGGAGACAGUUGAAUUAUUUUAGCUAAAAAUUACCAGAAGAGUCUGCCCGAGGCAGACAUCCAGCACGGAGUAUUUGAGCUCGAGCAGCUGAACUUUGGCAAAGCUGUGCGUAGCGGAAAGCAGUCAUUAAUGGGAAGUGUUAAGUGACUUCAACAUCAGACAGCGCUCACAAGGGAACAUGAGAAACUUUGGCUCUGUGGAUGGCCCCACGAGAAAAGUCGUAUGUGUACACGUGAAAUCCUGCUGCAAUGCAUUCGGUUAGCCGAUCCCUACAGACGAAUACUGACCUGCGUUUGUAGUACAGCAUUUGCAGGCUCCAGGGGUGGACUUGCUGUUUUGCAGACUUACCGGUUACUUUGUGGUUUGCUGUUGAACCAAAUGCUGAGGAGAAAUGGUAUUCUAGGAAUGGUGAAGCAUGAAGAGAAACACGUCGGAUUUCUCUUUCCCUGUGGGAGGAGGAGGCGCAGGGGGACGGGGAUGCCGGACCCGACCCUGCUGGUGCGUGGCACGCAUGGCGUGUGUGGCAGGUUGCUUUGCGGGAAGGUCUUGUCAUUGCAGCUGUGAGCGGUCCUGGGGACUCCUCCCUGCUCGCUUGACAACCUCUACACUGACAGAAGUUUUGGUAGGGGGCUGAGAGGGCUGCGAAGAUUAGUGGCAGGAGGCUAGCAGCUCUUACUGCCAGUCUGCAUUUUCCUUUUCUGCAGGAAGAGGCAUUUUCCUUUCUUGUUACGCUUCAUCUCGAGCUGUGUAAACAGCACUCCCUCCUUGAUGUUGACACCUUCAAAUGAUUUUAUCUCCCUCUUAGAGAUUUUUUUACCCAAACUGUACUAUUUAGUUAUUUAAUCUUCCCUUUAGUUAUUUGAUUGUUGUUCGUUACUGAAUUCUUUCCAAUAUGCCAACAUCUCUUUGGCACACGAGCGCCUGCAAUUGCCUUUUCUGUUUGGAGGACAGCUCAGUCCUAGCAGCACGCUGCAGAGAGAAGCCAUCUUCCUUCUGCUCUCUUAUAUGAUGCUCUUCACCUCUCUGCAGGUCAAAAUCAGGCCCUCUUAUUUUAUAAAUCAGCAUCUAGUUUGCUACUCACUCCUAUCCCUAUGUUAGGCCCUUUUCAGCAGCUGCUACAGAUUGUUUUUCCAAGUAUGUUUCCUUGAAUUGCCCAAGUCCCAGGCAGGAGCUGUUAGAUGCUGUUUUCCUUCCCACUCCCCCAUCUCAGAAACAUCUUCUGUGAGCUUGAAAUCAUAAAGAGAAACCGAAGCUCGUGCACUCUUCUCUUCCUCAUUACUAAAUCCAAACUGAUCCUUUCAAAAAGAAGAAAUGCUUUACAGAUUUGUCUUUCUCCAGCCUGGGAAACAAUUCCUUCCCAUUCACAUCCACACUGUGCACUCCUGGGGACUGGGCAGGCUGACAGGGGCAGUUUGGUUGCAUGGAAAGGAAGGGGCAUUAAAAUAGUGAGCAAGGCUGUUCUGGAGAAGGAUGGGCCAGAGCUGUCUCAGUCCAGCCCUUGGUUAUUCUGGGCACUAAUGCAUUCUGCGGAAACUCGGGCAGAGGUUUUAAGAGCUGAUUGUUUGGACAGGUAAAAGCUUUGGAAUGAUAUAUGCACUUUGUAUGUGGAGGCGAUGCUUCAUUUUUAUAUUCAAAGUGCAUCAGGACAUGAAAGGAGCCAAUUUCAACCUAGUCUGCAAACGACACCUAAGCCCAGCCUGUGAAACAUGCGUUACCUGAAGGGCAUUUACUAGGAUGUCUAUGCAGAUUUCAUUUUUCUUAAGAAACCUUUUUCUUCCCUGCAGGAUUAGAGGUGGAAAUAGGAUAGGUUUUGGACCUAACCUCACAAUCAGGGAAAGGGGAGAGGCAAAGGGCUUUGUCCGGGUAGCUCCCCAGUACCAUUACGUUAAACCAGCAGUGAACUGGAAGCUUCUUCAAAGCUGUGGGAGCCAAAUGUCCCACCCUGUUUGCCUGUGGCUGCCGGGUUAAUUUUUCUCCUUUUGAGGUCUGAACCCUUCAAAGCUUUGUUUUGUACGGGUAAAAAAAACCUAGCUACAGCCUAUGGAGAGACCUGGAAACCAUUUGGUGCAGAAAGAUCACAGGACUCUGGGAAUGAAUGCAGACUUCUUUUUAACUGAAAAGAAUACAUACAUUUAAAGAGCAGAACAUGCAAAUACAUUCAUAAUGGCCGCUAUCAGGAGCUGCUGGCAGUUUCUCUGAGCAGAAAAGUCCUUGUCUUUGAGAUUUCUGCUAUCCCUCAGGCUUCUGUCCAUUUCUAUGUUGUUACUUGCAGUGUUUAAGCCCCAUUAAGUUUAAGUGCAUAAAUUUUCUUUGGCUAUUCAACCCCAGCCACUUUUGGGAAGGAUUUGGCCAGAAUCCCUGAACCUAAAAUAAUCAAACGUCUGUCUUUCUGUUAAAAAGGCUGCCAUUUAUCUGACAAGCAGUGCAAAACAGAAUAGGUAGCUCAGUACAAGCAUCCCCUGAGAAACCUGUUGUUGCAAAACCAGGCAAGUGGCUUGCACAUGAGCAGAUAAGGUACCUUUACCAAUACCCAGGUUGUUGCACGGCAUGUCAGUAUCUUUAGUUUCAUAUCACAUAUUACUUUUAUUAUCAGCCUCUUGGUUUCUACUGCUCUCUUUAGAAAUAUUACAGCCACAACUUCUAACCUUUACAGGCUCAUCCGAGGAGCAUGGCCUUUCAGACACUCCUUUCGCGAGUAUUUGUUGUGCUCCAGGUGAGGAUGUCUUUGUUUCAGGAUUGUUCUGGGCAUGAGAAAUAAAAAUCAAAAUGGAGAUGGUGGCCAGCACAAAGAACCAACCAAAGUAAUUUUAAUGAAUUUCUUUCCAUACCUGCCAAUCCACCCUCCCCUGCAGGAAAAACAACUCUCAGAUGAAUAAAGCAUAUGGCACAGAAGAUGGAGCACCGAUGCCAAGUUUGUCUUUGCCUUAGCAGAACUCGCUGCAAAAUGCUGAAUCUGCAGAUCUUCUCCCGGAAUACGCUCUUCAAGAGAAAGGGGCAGGCAUAUUCCCACCACCUUUUUAGCUGGGCUUGUGCGCUCUCACUGUUUAAAUCCUCAGUGGGUAGGACAUUAUUGUGGCUGCAGCGCUGGGCAGACACACGGUACUACGUUCAAACUAGUUGCCGUGGAUAGCAGUGCAUGUGGCAGCAGCAAAGAAAACCCAUCAGUGAGGGGGACUAAAUAUUUGAGAGGGAUCUGAAGCCCACACUAACCUGCCUUCUGUGUGCAUGUGUGCUAACUAGCUGUGAUGACUGCCGUUUUGGCAAGCAGGCACGCCUGCUGCCGUGUGGUUCAGACACCCUGUUCCUGGCCAUGGUUAGUUAUCCAGUUGGUGUUUAUGUUGCUGGGAAUAUAUGAGGCGAAGGUUGUAUUUGAGCUGUCCAGAAGUGAGGCGUUCAGUCUAAGUCCCACCAUGAUGACUUGCUCUACAGUGAGCGGACAGACAGCCACCCCCACUGGUUAUAGUUUUAGGUUAUUUAUCCUAAAAUAGGUGUGGAGCACUGUGAGAAGGUGCCUCUCUCUCUCCAUAAGCUCAGAGAAAACCCUCAGUGCCAGCUCAGCCUGUGGCCAGCCAUUACAGGUCUCUCUGCUCCCAACUCAGCCCCAUCAAGUGAGGCUCUGGGAGGACAUGUUGCUGGUGGGUCCUGAUGGGGCACAAGUAAAUAGGACCUCGCCACCAACCUGCUCGGCUCUCUUCUGAAGGACGUAGGAUGCCGGAGGAACUGUAAUUUAAGCGCCUCUUAGCAGUACGCCUCUCCACGGUUGGGUGACAGCUGAAGAGGAGGUUUGAGUGUCUAAAUUAAGAAGUUAGGCAUCUAAGGCCUUUAUUGGACCUAUCUCUGCAGCGACUGAAGCUGUGCAGACUUAUAUAAAAGGAAAAAAAUCCCCUGCUGAGUUACUUUCAUCUUCCAGACAGCUAUGGAAAUGUUUGCGUUGUGUACUCUCACAGACGUGUUUCUUCUAUAGGCACCCUCAGAGCCGAGAGAGGAGGCCAUCAUUUUACCUGGACAUGUGCCAUGGAGAUAGACCAUGGCUUGGGCGAGGGGUGCUGCUCUCCCAGGACCUCUUGCAGCACUUUGGCUUGGAGAUGUUUCGUAAGGUGGGAGGGAGGUGAAGUCCCCACCUUUGGACCCAUGUGUCAGGAAAGCCUCCCGCUGUGGAUGAUUAAUCUCCCCUUCCAGUAAGAAUUCAGCAUGCCUCUUCUUCUGACAAGUCCCACAAGAAAGGAAGCACGGUCAUCCACAACAGCCCUCUCCUUGUUUUGGUUCACAACCAGCCUCAGCCUGCACUGGGUUUUCAAAGGCUGGCUGAACAAGUCCCCAGGUUUACCAGUAGAAAGAGAAAAAAAGGGUUGAUCAGAAAAUCUCAGCUUGGGUACACAUCACAACUGGUCUUUCCUCUCUUCCACUUAACGUGGCAGACUGACAGGCUGUAAAAUACGUCCAGCUGGAAAGAAGAUCAUUUUGUCUUACUCUGCCCAGCCUCAUUUUUCAGAGCUGAAUGUCCAGUCGCAUACCUGUGCGAAACCUCCAAGACCCUGGAGGCUUAAUGCAGCAAUAUUUCUUUUUUUAAUAGGCAGCUUAUUGUCCACAUUACAUUUUUCUGUGCCUUUUGGUCAAUAUCCCAGACUAGAGAAACCAAGGAGAGAUCGAAAACAAAUGAACUCUCCCCUUAAAUUUAGAGUCUGCCCAAAGCACCGGAGCAACUGGAGCAUUGACACAGUCUCUGCACCAGCAGGUUUGCUGUUUGCUCGGCGAGCACCGCUCUCCCAUUGCACUGCUGCGCUGCAGAGCCGCUGCUCGGCAGGUCUCGGGGGUAUUGUCAUCAAAAUGCAUGGGCUGAGCAACAUGGUUUUGCAACUCUCUUCAGACAGCUUUGCACUUUUACUCCCGCCUGACUCUGAAGUGGAAUGGCCCCUGAGAAAACGGUGUAUUUCAUAAGAAAGGAAUGUUUUUCAUCCUCUCCUAGCACCUCCAUGGUCCUUCUGCGUGUACGGCUCUCACAGGCUGGCGUGGUGCAGGAGGAGACAUUUCUAACAGCAAACAACUCGGUUCCUCUUUCUCCUUUGACAUUUCUACACGAUACGAAAAGCUCUCAGUCAUUCCCCAAAAAGUUAGUAUUUGAUACUUUUUUUGCUUUUUUCUUUUUUUUUGCACAGACUAAACAUUCACAUGUCAUAUCCUGUACGAGCAGUUGUUUUAAUGGAUGCGCUGCCAACAAAGACACUUGGGUUUAAGUGGCUGAUCCUUUGUGACCGUAACGGCUUUUAAUGAAGGGUUUUGUCUUCAUAAGGCCAAAAUCUUCUUUAUCCAGCUUUGGCUUUUGAAAGAAACACUGCAAAUAUUUUUGGAUUGGAUGUGAAAUGUUGUAUAAAUUCUGUUAUAACAAGGUGGAAAAUCUGUCCUUUCCUUAUUAAUAGACUGUAUACCAAAACAGGGAGGGUUAAAGCCUAAAUGGUUUUAUACACUACGAAUUCAUCAGACUUUUACAUCCCCGGCAAGGGGAGUAUUUAAAAACAGAAGAAAUGUGUAAAAAUAAAUUAAAUAUGAAACUAAAGAAACA